AGGUUAUAAUAUAAGAGGACGCAAGUAUAUAACUAAAGGCCUUGGCUUCCAUGAUUUCAUGAUCUUCCUUCCACAUGAGACGUGACUCCUAAAUUAAUUAAGCUCAACCCACGUCUUUUAUUAAUGAUAACUGGCCAUUUACGCGUUUGGCCGCCACAGCUUCAUGGCAUUCACGAAUUUCUUCUGAAGGUCAACCGUACUGGCGGCCUGAACUCCCGUUUUAUCUAUAUCCAUAGAUCUACUUUAUAUCCCUGCUUUGUUUUUCAAAUUUUGGUUCUAUCUAACUGGAUGAGUACGUUUUUGCCCCUGGAUUCAUUUUACUUUUAAAACAACGAAAAUCUCUCUCUCUCUCUCUCUCUGAGUCGGCAACCAUCUCUCUGUUUCUUUCUCUGUAAUAAGCUGCAACCCUCUCUUUUUCAUUAAUUCACAGUCGUCAUCCUCCUUGUGGACAAAAAUCAUGGCAGAAAUCAUUGAGGUGUAGUUUGUGUAGAUCUCAGAUAUUUAGUGGAAAAGGACGCCAUGGCCAACUGCAAAGAGGAGGUGAGGAUGAGGAUGGAGGGAUGUUCGGUGAUGUGUCUCAAGGCUCGUCAUUUCACAACAUCUGAAUUUUUUUCCCGAUCUUUUACUGUAACCCUAUAGUUUUUCUUUUAGCUUUUCUUUAUUUGGUUGUUUGGUGGAGAAGUGGUGGAUUGGGGUGGCUCGAGUCGUGGAGGCCCAUUGUGGCUCAUGGUGGCACUGCAAGCGGCUUUGCGUGGCGGCACCAUUUGUGGCUACACGGAUGUAUCUAGAUCCGAGAGGGAGAGAGAUCCUAGGGGAAGAUAAAGAGAUUGCCAUGGGUGGUCGGCAUGGGGAGAUUGGCAUGAUGGCAUUCCGGCCGAUAAGGCUGGGGCCAGUGGAUGGCUCACGAUGGCGAUACAAGGAUCUAACAAAUUCUGGGAGAUAGAGAGAGUGCUUUGGGUAGAGAUAGGACCUGUGGGGGAAGCUCAUCAUUGACGACGUGCUCGUGGUACUGUUAAUUUGAGGCGACAGUUGAUGGAUGAGGUGGCGUGAGGGAGAAAUUAGGAAGAGAAUUGGUGUGUUUUGGCAUGACUGCUGGGAGAGAAAAAGACGGUCAAAUGUUAGGGGGUUCAGCAUGGGGUGAUGCCGUCGAUGCUACGGUGGUGGCGGGUAAAGGAAGGGGAAGCUAUGUGGCUAGGGGAAUCAAGGAGAGAGAGAGAGAGAGAGAGAGAGAGAGAGAGAGAGAGAGAGAGAGAGAGAGCUGGACAUGGAGGAGUAAGAAGGAAGAAGAAAAGAAGGGAAACAACUAGGGUUUGGUGGGUUUUAAUUUAAGCCAUUCAUCCUAAGGUUUUUAGAUCUAAUCCAACAAUCAUGACAUGAUUUAAUCAUGAGAUUGAGCUACUUUUUAUUUUUAUUAUCACUUUUUUUUUUCCUUAUGGAUGGACUUAAAAUUGAAUAAUAGUAUUUUUUAUAUUA